CAUCGUUCGCACCUCUGGCGGAGAGGUCAGCCGUCUGCCCUCGGGGUUCAGCAGCAGGUGCGGGAUUAGAAGUGCAAGCCCGGAAAGGAGGGUGAAGAUUUUGUGUUCUUUACAUGAAGCUGUACUCCACAAUGAAGGCUCCCUCCUUGAGUUUCAUUAGCAAGUACUUCAAGUCUGCCUCACUUUCAGCAGAUGCAACCAGUCGUCCCAUCAGUGACAGAUGGCAACCCUGUGUGUGUCAGAGGAGCACUGUGCUCUAGACAGUCCUCAAAGGCUGACUCGGGGGACGUAGCUCCUUAGGCCUGUCUUCCUAAGCAACUCUAGGUGGGCUUGAACCUCUAACCUUUCAGUUAUUUGAGCAUAUUAGCUAUUUGCCAAAAUUUCAGCUCAUAAAUAAAGGUUUGGUGGACUGCUUUAA